rnacentral:rRNA from 1 species
CCUACGGGUGGCUGCAGUGGGGAAUAUUGGGCAAUGGGCGCAAGCCUGACCCAGCAACGCCGCGUGAAGGAAGAAGGCUUGCGGGUUGUAAACUUCUUUUGGCAGGGACGAAGGAAGUGACGGUAGCGGACGAAUAAGCAACGGCUAACUCCGUGCCAGCAGCCGCGGUAAUACGGAGGUGGCCAGGGUUAUCCGGAUUUACUGGGGGUAAAGGGCGUGUAGGCGGGACGGCAAGGCAGAGGUGAAAACCACGGGCUCAACCUGUGGCCUGCCUUUGAAACUGUCGUUCUUGAGUACUGGAGAGGCAGACGGAAUUCCUAGUGUAGCGGUGAAAUGCGUAGAUAUUAGGCGGCACACCAGUGGCGAAGGCGGUCUGCUGGACAGCAACUGACGCUGAGGCGCGAAAGCGUGGGGCGCAAACAGGAUUAGAUACCCUUGUAGUC